UACGAAGGGGGCUAGCGUUGUUCGGAAUCACUGGGCGUAAAGCGCACGUAGGUGGACUUUCAAGUCAGGGGUGAAAUCCCGGGGCUCAACCUCGGAACUGCCUUUGAUACUGUUGGUCUUGAGUCCGGAAGAGGUGAGUGGAAUUCCUAGUGUAGAGGUGAAAUUCGUAGAUAUUAGGAAGAACACCGGUGGCGAAGGCGGCUCACUGGUCCGGUACUGACACUGAGGUGCGAAAGCGUGGGGAGAAAACAGG
rnacentral:rRNA from 1 species